rnacentral:rRNA from 1 species
UACGAACGCUGGCGGCAGGCUUAACACAUGCAAGUCGAGCGCCCCGCAAGGGGAGCGGCAGACGGGUGAGUAACGCGUGGGAAUCUACCCAUCUCUACGGAAUAACGCAUGGAAACGUGUGCUAAUACCGUAUACGUCCUUCGGGAGAAAGCUUUAUCGGAGAUGGAUGAGCCCGCGUUGGAUUAGCUAGUUGGUGGGGUAAAGGCCUACCAAGGCGACGAUCCAUAGCUGGUCUGAGAGGAUGAUCAGCCACACUGGGACUGAGACCCGGCCCAGACUCCUACGGGAGGCAGUAGUGGGGAAUAUUGGACAAUGGGCGCAAGCCUGAUCCAGCCAUGCCGCGUGAGUGAUGAAGGCCCUAGGGUUGUAAAGCUCUUUCACCGGUGAAGAUAGUGACGGUAACCGGAGAAGAAGCCCCGGCUAACUUCGUGCCAGCCGCCGCAGUAAUAC